rnacentral:lncRNA from 1 species
UACUUUCAGGGAAAGUCCUAUCAGAAAAAGAAAUGGCUUUGCUAUCUCAAACGGGUAAUAUGCUUCAAACAGUGGAUGAUGAAAAAAGUGUGUCGUCUUUGUCAGCAUCAGGAUUGGUUACAGCAUCAGUGAAUUUGGCCACAAAAGUUGAAACAAAAGAUAAUAUUGACUUAUGGGGAAGUUACAUUCCUCAGAGUCACCCUGAGAUACCAGGUGCUGCCAUUAGAAGUCCAGAUAAAGUCAACUCUGCUACCAAACAAAAUGCAUACAACAGCGGAGAUAUGCAUAACUAUUGCAUUAAUUAUGUCAGCUCUGAGUUACCUGUUGAAUCUUCCAACCACGGAUCAUUACCCUUUCAUAAUUACUCAAAAGUAAAUAAUUCUAAUAAACGUCGUAGGUUUUCAGGAACAGCGGUGUCUGAAAAAGAACCCUCAUCAAGCAAAACAGUUGUUCAACAACCAAUAAGUGAAUCGGUUUUAUCUUUGGUGCGAAAGGAGAGCUCAAAUCCAGAUAGCAUGUUAGCAUCUCUUAGCCUGUUAAAUACUAAAGAUGGAACUUUAAAAAUGCAAGCUGAAAUUGAAGAACAAUGUGUGUUAGAAAAAGGACAAAACAUUGACGGACAGAACUUCUACACUAAUGAAAAUCAAAAUUUAGAGAAUGUGACUGAAAAAUCUAAGUGGGAUGACAUUUCUAAUGUUGAGUCACCUAUGAUGCCUAGAAUCACAUCUGUUUUCUCUCUCCACAGCCAACAGGCAUCAGAAUUUUUGCCCCCUGAAGUAAACCAGUUACUUCAGGAUGGGUUAAAAACAAAAUCUGAUGUAAAACAGGACUCUAGUAAGACUCCAGAUAAAGGCCUGCCACUUCAUUGUGACCAGUCCUUUCAGAAACCUGAGGGAGAAGGCAAAAUAGUUGAAUCUUCAAAAGACUUCAAAGUACAAGGUGUCUUCCCAAUUCCAUCUGGUGGUAUAGGGAUUAAUGUGCCUAUAAAUGAUCUGAAUUUAAAGUGUAGUGGAAAAGAAAAACAAAAUCUGUCAAUAUCACAAGAUGUGAGAGAUUCAGAAAAGGCACCUAGAAUUUCAGGUAUUGGCACAUUACUUAAGACUCAGUCAGAUGCAAUAAUAACACAGCAGCUCGUAAAAGAUAAACUGCGAGCCACUACACAAAAUUUAGGUUCUUUAUAUAGGCAGAGUCCACUUCUAAAUUCAGAACCAAAAAAAGCUAUAUUUGUUCAGACUCCAAAAGGCUUUUUUGUACCACUGCACAUUGCUAACAAGCCUGGAUUACAUGUUGUUUCAGGAAGACCACUUCCAUUGGUUAACACACAAGGUGUACCUGCUUCUCUUCUUUUAAACAAGAAACCCGGGAUGAUUUUAACAUUUAAUCAUGGGAAACUUGAAGGUGUUUCCACUGUCAAAACUGAGAGUGCUCAAGCUUGUGGAACUACAGCUAAGGAGCUUUGCAGAACACCUUUUUUAAAGGUGGAACCAAACAGUAAUUGUCUGACACCUGCACUAUGUUCCAGCAUUGGCAGUUGCUUGAGCAUGAAAAGUAGUUCCGAAAAUACUCUGCCGUUAAAAGGCCCGUACAUUAUUAAAACGUCAGCAAGUUCUUCAGUGAAAGCUGUUCCUACUCCUAAUGUAGCUUCUGAGCACCAGGGCACCAAGUUGAAUAUUUUGGAAUCAGUAAAACAGCAGAAUGAGAUUUUUCCCAAACCACCUCUUUAUACCCUCUUGCCUGAUGGCAAACAAGCUGUUUUUUUAAAGUGUGUGAUGCCAAAUAAGACUGAGCUGCUUAAGCCUAAAUUAGUCCAAAAUAGUACGUAUUAUCAAAACAUACAGCCAAAGAAACCUGAAGGAACACCACAAAAAAUAUUGCUGAAAAUUUUUAACCCUGUUUUAAAUGUGACUGCUGCUAACAAUCUGUCUGUAAACAACUCUGCAUCCUCAUUGCAGAAAGACAAAGUACCAUCUAAUCAGACUACAGGAGGAGAGCAGAGAGAGCCAGAAUCUUCUAGAGAUGCCUUACCCUUCUUACUAGAUGAUAUGAUGCCAGCAAAUGAAAUUGUGAUAACUUCUACUGCGACAUGCCCAGAAUCUUCUGAGGAACCAGUGUGUUUCACUGACCGUUCAGAUACCAGGGUGUUAAGGUGUAAAACAAAUUGUACAAUUGAGAGAAGCUUCAAUAGAAAAAAGACUUCCAAAAAAAAUUUUCCAAGAAUAAAAACUCAUGUAAGAAGUAAAGAUUCUGAAACUGCCUUUGUACCUAGAAACAGGAACUGUAAACGAAAGUGUAGGGAGAGUUACCAAGAACCUCCAAGAAAAAAGGCAACAUUACAUAGAAAGUGUAAAGAAAAGGCAAAACCCGAAGCUGUCCGUGAAUCGUUUGGAUUUAGCAGACCGAGGCUUUCAAAAGAUGCAGUCAGAACUUUGCGGCUUUUCCCAUUUAGUUCCACACAGCUUGUGAAAUGUCCUAGGAGAAACCAGCCAGUUGUAGUUUUGAAUCAUCCUGAUGCAGAUGCCCCAGAAGUAGUAAGUGUAAUGAAAACUAUUGCUAAAUUUAAUGGACGUGUACUUAAGGUUUCAUUGUCAAAAAGAACUAUCGAUGCUUUACUGAAACCGGUUUGUGGUAAUGCUUCACAAACAAUUUAUGAUGAUUUUUCCAAGAGGCAUAAAACAUUUAAACCUGUUAGUUCUGUGAAAGAAAGAUUUGUGCUAAAAUUAACACUCAAAAAGAUGAGCAAAAACAAUUAUCAGAUCGUGAAAACUACCUCUGAAAAUGUUCCAAAAGCUAAAUUUAACUGUUGGUUUUGUGGUAGAGUAUUUGACAAUCAGGAUGCUUGGGCUGGUCAUGGGCAGAGACAUUUAAUGGAAGCUACUCGUGAUUGGAAUAUAUUAGAAUA